CAAUAGCGUAUAUUUAAGUUGCUGCAGUCAAAAAGCUCGUAGUUGGAUUUCGGGUGGGAAUGGCCGGUCCGCCGUUUCGGUGUGCACUUGCUACGCCCACCUUGCUGCCGGGGACGUGCUCUUGAGUUCACGCUCGGGACACGGAGUCGGCGAGGUUACUUUGAGUAAAUUAGAGUGUUCAAAGCAGGCCUACGCUCUGAAUACAUUAGCAUGGAAUAACACGAUAGGACUCUGGCCUAUCUUGUUGGUCUGUAGGACCGGAGUAAUGAUUAAGAGGGACAGUCGGGGGCAUUCGUAUUUCAUUGUCAGAGGUGAAAUUCUUGGAUUUAUGAAAGACGAACUACUGCGAAAGCAUUUGCCAAGGAUGUUUUCAUUGA
rnacentral:rRNA from 1 species